rnacentral:rRNA from 1 species
GACGAACGCUGGCGGCGUGCUUAACACAUGCAAGUCGAACGGAAAGGCCCCCUUGUGGGGUACUCGAGUGGCGAACGGGUGAGUAACACGUGAGUAACCUACCCUUGACUUUGGGAUAACUUCAGGAAACUGGGGCUAAUACCGGAUAGGAGCUCCUGCUGCAUGGUGGGGGUUGGAAAGUUUCGGCGGUUGGGGAUGGACUCGCGGCUUAUCAGCUUGUUGGUGGGGUAGUGGCUCACCAAGGCUUUGACGGGUAGCCGGCCUGAGAGGGUGACCGGCCACAUUGGGACUGAGAUACGGCCCAGACUCCCACGGGAGGCAGCAGUGGGGAAUAUUGCACAAUGGGCGGAAGCCUGAUGCAGCAACGCCGCGUGCGGGAUGACGGCCUUCGGGUUGUAAACCGCUUUCGCCUGUGACGAAGCGUGAGUGACGGUAAUGGGUAAAGAAGCACCGGCUAACUACGUG